ACGAACGCUGGCGGCGUGCUUAACACAUGCAAGUCGAACGGAAAGGCCCUGCUUUUGUGGGGUGCUCGCGUGGCGAACGGGUGAGUAACACGUGAGUAACCUGCCCUUGACUUUGGGAUAACUUCAUGAAACUGGGGCUAAUACCGGAUAGGAGCUCCUGCUGCAUGGUGGGGGUUGAAAGUUUCGGCGGUUGGGGAUGGACUCGCGGCUUAUCAGCUUGUUGGUGGGGUAGUGGCUUACCAAGGCUUUGACGGGUAGCCGGCCUGAGAGGGUGACCGGCCACAUUGGGACUGAGAUACGGCCCAGACUCCUACGGGAGGCAGCAGUGGGGAAUAUUGCACAAUGGGCGGAAGCCUGAUGCAGCAACGCCGCGUGCGGGAUGACGGCCUUCGGGUUGUAAACCGCUUUCGCCUGUGACGAAGCGUGAGUGACGGUAAUGGGUAAAGAAGCACCGGCUAACUACGUG
rnacentral:rRNA from 1 species